GUCGCCUUUUUUUCUUUCCCCUUCCCUCCCUCCUCUCUCUCUCUGUUAUAUAUAACUUAUAUAUAUUAAACCGAUUUUGUUUUCCGUCGGUUUCGAUAGAAAACAAAGUCUGUCAUCACUUGUUUUUCUUUCAAGGUUGAUUCGGAUAUGGUAGUAGAGAUCCCUGACAAAAGAUUCCUAACUUCUAAUUGGACAUGCAAACGUUACAGAAUCGUGUCUUCGAAUUUUACCUGGCGCCAAACGGAAAAGAACUUGCUGACGCGUUGUAAAAGCUAUUUUGGAAACAGCCAUGUUUGUAAAUCUUUCCGAAAAAAUUUGUUUUUCACUUACUAACUGUUAUGACACAGAAUAAUGCGACAGAGGGGGGUGAAAAAAAAGUAAAAUAAAAUAAAAUAAUAAUAAUAAUAGCGACCGUCAGACAGGAAUUUUUAUUCUGAGAAGCGACUUAUUUAUUAAUUUUGUCGGAUCUUCUUAGAAAUGAUAAACCGCUCCUAAUUUUCGGUAGGAAAAAACACGAUAAGAGAGAGAGAGAGAGUGAAAGAGAGAGGAUUAGGGUAGGUUUUUCCUCCGUUUUAAGAGCGUCAGAUUCCUUUUUGGUAUCUGCAGCGUAGCUCUCACUUACGGUAUUUUUACAUUGACAUACAAAAAGUGGUAUUCGGUUAUGAAACGUUAAAUGCUUGCAAAUUUUACAAUUACCAUUGCAAUCUGUUCCGAUUUUGUCAAGAUAUGGAACGAGGCAAUAAAAAUCGAUUAUCGACAAGGUCGCCUUCUUGCAGACCUUUUCGGGGUGUUAAAAUACACACACUCAUUAUCGAAGACAGGAAGGAGUUUGGCGACAUUGUUUGCAACAUAUUUUUUUUUUUUUCUCGUUUGUUUUUACUGAUUGGGACUUAAGAAUAGAAUUCUGUAAGAUAUUAAUAGAAGGUUACGUUCUCUUCUUCUCGACAAUUAUCGAGAUGAUUUAAAAACCGGGUUUUUUUUUUUUUUUUUUAAAUAAAAAGGUUAGGAUAACGAGCGUAGGGAAAAAUAUC
rnacentral:lncRNA from 1 species